GACGAACGCUGGCGGCGUGCCUAAUACAUGCAAGUAGAACGCACAGUUUAUACCGUAGCUUGCUACACCAUAGACUGUGAGUUGCGAACGGGUGAGUAACGCGUAGGUAACCUGCCUGGUAGCGGGGGAUAACUAUUAGAAACGAUAGCUAAUACCGCAUAAUAUUAAUUAUUGCAUGAUAAUUAAUUGAAAGGUGCAAUUGCACCACUACCAGAUGGACCUGCGUUGUAUUAGCUAGUAGGUGAGGUAACGGCUCACCUAGGCGACGAUACAUAGCCGACCUGAGAGGGUGAUCGGCCACACUGGGACUGAGACACGGCCCAGACUCCUACGGGAGGCAGCAGUAGGGAAUCUUCGGCAAUGGACGAAAGUCUGACCGAGCAACGCCGCGUGAGUGAAGAAGGUUUUCGGAUCGUAAAGCUCUGUUGUAAGAGAAGAACGGGUGUGAGAGUGGAAAGUUCACACUGUGACGGUAUCUUACCAGAAAGGGACGGCUAACUACGUG
rnacentral:rRNA from 1 species